AGGAAGCUGUGUCUCCGUGGUGCCUGCAUUCAAUUAACAUUUUAGUACAGCACUUGUGAAUCUUCCGAAAAUGGCCUCUCCCUGGCACCGGCUGCGAAUUUAUCACUUUUAAAGAGGCAAUGUGCAAUUACUCGUGACUGAAAAAUGCAGGAGAAAAUUUCAUGGAAACAGCCUACCAUCACAAUGAAGCACCUUUCCAACACUUAUCGUCGUAAAUGCUACUCUUGGAAUAAGUCGUUUCUUUUGAUAAGACUUUGAACGUGGUUCAAUAAAUGAGAGAGAAUUCAUGCAAAAAUGUACGUCGUUGAAAAGGUUGACUUGGAAUUAUGCUCAUGAUUGGUGGAGAGAUUCAUAUCCAUGAUGUCAUACUCAUUUGACCCUGUUGCCAUUCCUCGACUGGAGGAACUAGAGCAGGAGAACAUGCUUGCACCUCACUGAUGCAGGACCUGCUUCCUUCAGCCCAUGAUGUAUGGAGCAGCCUUUCAGACAACUCCAGGAGAAGAAAGGUGUGAGACUGGAAGCUAUAAACAUAGUUGCUGGCUGUUGAUCAGAUUAGUUUAAAAGUGAAGAAGACCUGAGCUAAUAUGAAGAUGAAAAUUGAGCGAGCUGAAGAAAAUAGUUUCAGCCUUCCAGUUCCCCAUCCUUAGCUGUCCUGCGGCACACACGUGGAGUAAGCAGAGAGGGGCGUGGUCCAGCCUGCUGCAUCGAUGAUGGUGCUGCCUUGUGCCUGUUCAGCAUUGAAAACUAUGUUCAUGUGAAAAUCACGAGUAAAAUUAAUGAAUCAUAAAUGUAGGACCCAGCCCAGGAUCUGAUUUUAAAGCUAAGGUACUACAGUAAUACUUGCACUGCCCUGCUGUGGGUUUUUAAAAUUUUUAUGUAAUUAUGUCUCCAUUGUAAUGAUGAG
rnacentral:lncRNA from 1 species